AUUGAACGCUGGCGGCAUGCCUUACACAUGCAAGUCGAACGGUAGAGUAGCAAUACUUGAGAGUGGCGAACGGGUGAGUAAUAUAUCGGAACGUGCCCAGUCGUGGGGGAUAACGUAGAGAAAUUUACGCUAAUACCGCAUACGAUCUAAGGAUGAAAGCGGGGGAUUCGCAAGAACCUCGCGCGAUUGGAGCGGCUGAUAUCAGAUUAGGUUGUUGGUGAGGUAAAAGCUCACCAAGCCGACGAUCUGUAGCUGGUUUGAGAGAACGACCAGCCACACUGGGACUGAGACACGGCCCAGACUCCUACGGGAGGCAGCAGUGGGAAGUUUUGGACAAUGGGCGCAAGCCUGAUCCAGCAAUGCCGCGUGCAGGAUGAAGGCC
rnacentral:rRNA from 1 species